CAGGAGGCUACAGUCUGCGUAACCCAUGUCAGAGAUGUUUAGGUCAUGAACGAUCCCGUCCAGAUCCUGAGCGAGGGCACCAGGUGCGGAAUGUUGGCACAUGUAACGCAUGCUGAUCAAUGCAUGCCGCUUGGAUGCAGACAGUGCUGCGGGCUGUAAAGCCCUCCUUAUGGUAAUGAAAAUGCAUGUGUCUGAGUACUCAGGCUUGGGAUGACGUGAUACGCAGACGAAUAGUCACCGAAGUAAUUAUCGAUCCAGCAGCUCGCGGUACAUGCGAACGGGGGCAAAUCGUUACGUAUGCAAUACGUGAUCGUGAAUGUCAUGCGUAUGUAGGUGCGUGUCAUGUGCCGUUUCGUAUAACUCCAGAGGUCAACGUCGGCAACUUCAGCUGGAUCGCAGUGCGAUUUAGAUAUGUGAGUAGAGUGGUAGUAGAAUUCGUGAUGUAGCAGGGAACAAGGUAGAGAUCAGGAGGUACAUCCAUGUCAAAGGCAGGUUCGUGAAGCCACCAUUACAAUGAGGCACGAAAGCGUGGGGAGCAAACAGGAUGAGAUCGCCCUGGUAGUAGACGCCCUAUAGUAUGCGACCUGGAUGUUGGGUGCAAUUUGGCACGCAGUAUCAGUCUAACGCGUUAAGUUCGCGUUAAGGGGAGUACGGUCGCAGUACUGAAACUCAAAGGAAUUUCAGGGGAACCGCACAAGCGGUGGAGUAUGUGGUUUAAUUGGAUUCAACUUGAAGAACCUUACCUGACCUUGACAUGUCGAGAAAUUUUCAGAGAUGGAUUGGUGCCUUAGGGAUCUUGAACACCGGGGAUGCAUGGCUGUCGUCAGUUUGUUUAGUUAGAUGUUGGGUUAAGUCCCGCAACGAGCGCAACCCUUGUCCCUAGUUGCCAUCGUGUAAUGGUGGGAACUAUAAGGAGUCCACCGGGGACAAACCGGAGGAAGGUGGGGAAGGUGUCAAGUCAUCAUGGUCCUUACGGCCAGGGCUACCCGGGUUAUACAAUGGUAGGGACAGAGGGUUCCAAGCCGAGGUCGGCAAUACAAUCCCAGAAAUCUUAUCUCAGUCCGGAUUGGAGUGUGCAAGUUGACUCCAUGAAGUUGGAAUCGUUAGUAAUCGCAGUUCAGCAUAUCUGCGGUGAAUACGUUCCCGGGCUUUGUACACCCCGCCCGUCACCCCAUGGGAGUCAGUUGCACCAGAAGCAGGUAGCCAACCUUCGCAGGGCGCUGCUCAGCGAUGCCCGUUGC
rnacentral:rRNA from 1 species